rnacentral:rRNA from 1 species
UGUAGCUAACGCGUUAAGCACUCCGCCUGGGGACUACGGUCGCAAGACUAAAACUCAAAGGAAUUGACGGGGACCCGCACAAGCGGUGGAGCAUGUGGUUUAAUUCGAUGCAACGCGAAAAACCUUACCACUUCUUGACAUGGAGGCUAGAUCUUCCUUAACGGGAAGGCGCAGUUCGGCUGGGCCUCGCACAGGUGCUGCAUGGCUGUCGUCAGCUCGUGUCGUGAGAUGUUGGGUUAAGUCCCGCAACGAGCGUAACCCUCAUCCUUAGUUACCAGCGGGUAAUGCCGGGCACUUUAAGGAAACUGCCAGUGAUAAACUGGAGGAAGGUGGGGAUGAUGUCAAGUCAGCACGGCCCUUAUGGGGUGGGCUACACACGUGCUACAAUGGCGACUACAAUAGGUUGCAACGUCGCAAGGCUGAGCUAAUCCGUAAAAGUCGUCUCAGUUCGGAUUGUCCUCUGUAACUCGAGGGCAUGAAGUCGGAAUCGCUAGUAAUCGUGGAUCAGCAUG